UCAAGUUACAAAGGGCGUAUGGUGGAUGCCCAGGCACUUAGAGCCGAAGAAGGACGCAGCGAGCGGCGAAACGCUCCGGGGAGUCGCAAGCAGACGUAGAUCCGGAGAUUUCCGAAUGGGGAAACCCGCUUAAGGUAAUACUUAAGCAUCCCAUGGUGAACACAUAGCCAUGGGAGGGGAAACCGCGUGAACUGAAACAUCUAAGUAGCGCGAGGAGAAGAAAGAAAACAGGGCCUCCCAGCGGAGAGACUCCGCUGGGAAGGUAGUGUCGAUUUCCUAAGUAGCGGCGAGCGAAAAGGAAAGAGCCCAAACCAUCACCGCAGGUGAUGGGGUUUAGGACCACGAGAAGGUAUAUGGAGUAAAGCCGAACAGACCUGGGAAGGCAGGCCAAAGAAGGUGAAAGCCCUGUAGGCGUAAGCGAAAUAUACCGAGUGGGAUCCAGAGUACCACAGGAUAGGCAACCCGGUGGGAAGACGGGAGGACCAUCUCCCAAGGCUAAAUACUCCUAAGUGACCGAUAGCGCAAAGUACCGUGAGGGAAAGGUGAAAAGAACCCCGGGAGGGGAGUGAAAGAGAACCUGAAACCAUAUGUCCACAAGCAGUGGAAGCGAAAGACCACCCAGUGCGAGUUUCUCGCACCGGGAACCCGGUAACGCGACCACGUACUUUUUGUAGAACGGACCGGCGAGUUAUAGAUAUGCAGCGAGGUUAAGCGAAAGCGGAGCCGAAGCGAAAGCGAGUCUUAAGAGGGCGAAAGUUGCAUAUCAUAGACCCGAAACCGUGCGACCUACCCAUGAUCAGGGUGAAGCCGGAGUAAGAUCUGGUGGAGGCCCGAACCACGUUGACGUUGAAAAGUCAUGGGAUGAAUUGUGGGUAGCGGAGAAAUUCCAAUCGAGCUCGGAGAUAGCUGGUUCUCCCCGAAAUAGCUUUAGGGCUAGCCUCAGGGGGUAGAAAAUAUGGAGGUAGAGCACUGAAUGGACUAGGGGCCAAAAAGGUUACCGAACCCUAUCAAACUCCGAAUGCCAUAUUGAGAACCCUGGGAGUCAGACUACGAGUGAUAAGAUCCGUGGUCAAAAGGGAAACAGCCCAGACCGACAGCUAAGGUCCCAAAGAGCAUGUUAAGUGGGAAAGGAAGUAGGAUUUCCAAGACAACCAGGAUGUUGGCUUAGAAGCAGCCAUACAUUUAAAGAGUGCGUAAUAGCUCACUGGUCGAGAAAUCCCGCGCCGAAAAUAAACGGGGCUAAAACAUGCCACCGAAGCUACGGAUUCGAAAGAAUGGUAGGGGAGCGUACUGUACAGGGAGAAGGAUAAGCGAAAGCGAAUCUGGACAGUACAGUAGAGAGAAUGCCGGUAUAAGUAACGAGAGUAAGGCGAGAAACCUUACCGUCGAAAGCCUAAGGUUUCCUGGGGAAGGAUAAUCCGCCCAGGGUAAGUCGGGACCUAAGCCGAGGCGAAAGCGUAGGCGAUGGACAACCGGUAAUAAAUCCGGUACCACCGAAAUCCGUCAAAAGAGAAGCAAGGACGCAGCGAGAUAAGAAAAGCGUGCGGUUGGUAGAGCACGUCCAAGCAGCGACGAAGAGAGCUUUGAGUGAAGUACCAAAGCUCAUAAGAGCUGUGAAGGGGAGCCGAAAGGCGAAGUUUCGAAGGGGCUGCCAAGAAAAGUUGCUAUCGAGGAUAGAGGUGCCCGUACCAGAAACCGACACAGGUAGGCGAGGAGAGAAUCCAAAGACGAGCGGGAGAACCCUCAUUAAGGAACUCGGCAAAAAGACUCCGUAACUUCGGGAGAAGGAGUGCCGAAAGGCCGCAGAGAAGAGGCCCAAGCGACUGUUUACCAAAAACACAGGUUUCUGCUAAGUCGAAAGACGAAGUAUAGGAGCUGACGCCUGCCCGGUGCUGGAAGGUUAAGGGGAAGUGUUAUCCGGCACUCAACUAUACCUAUUAGGAGUAAAAAAAUGUAUUAUGUCUAUAUAAUAAAGAACGAAAAUGGAGGCAUAUAUACAGGCUAUUCAGAAAAUAUAAGGAAAAGACUAGAAGCUCAUAAUAAAGAGCUAAACAAAUAUACAAAGGGGCAUAAAUGGGAACUAAUAUACUAUGAAGCAUAUAAAGCAAAAGAAGAUGCCCAAAAAAGAGAAAAACAAUUAAAAAAAUCCCAUAAUGCAAGAAGAUGGUUAAAAGAAAGAAUAGCCAAAAGCAUAAACUCUUAGUAGAUAGAGUUGAGUGCCGGAGAAGCACAGAACUUAAGCCCCAGUAAACGGCGGCCGUAACUAUAACGGUCCUAAGGUAGCGAAAUUCCUUGUCGGGUAAGUUCCGACCUGCACGAAAGGCGUAACGACUUGGGCGCUGUCUUGAUGGGGGACCCGGUGAAAUUGUAGUACUCGUGAAGAUGCGAGUUACCCGCGACAGGACAGAAAGACCCCAUGGAGCUUUACUGCAGCUUGUCACUGAAUUUUAGUAAUAUCUGUACAGGAUAGGUGGGAGGCGGAGAAAGAUGGGCGCAAGCCUAUCUGGAGCCGACGUUGGGAUACCACCCUGAUAUUACCGAAAUUCUAACAUAUAAGCCGUAAGCCGGCAUAUGGACACUGACAGGCGGGCAGUUUGACUGGGGCGGUCGCCUCCUAAAGAGUAACGGAGGCGUCCAAAGGUUACCUCAGCGCGGAAGGAAAUCGCGCGUAAGAGUGCAAAGGCAGAAGGUAGCCUAACUGCGAGAAAGACAAUUCGAGCAGGGACGAAAGUCGGGCUUAGUGAUCCGGCGGUAGAGAAUGGGAUUGCCGUCGCUCAACGGAUAAAAGCUACCCUGGGGAUAACAGGCUGAUCUCCCCCAAGAGUCCACAUCGACGGGGAGGUUUGGCACCUCGAUGUCGGCUCAUCGCAUCCUGGGGCUGAAGUAGGUCCCAAGGGUUGGGCUGUUCGCCCAUUAAAGCGGUACGCGAGCUGGGUUCAGAACGUCGUGAGACAGUUCGGUCCCUAUCCGUCGCGGGCGUAGGAAAUUUGAGAGGAACUGCCCUUAGUACGAGAGGACCGGGGUGGACAAACCGAUGGUGUACCAGUUGCGAAGCCAUUCGCACAGCUGGGUAGCCAAGUUUGGAAGGGAUAAACGCUGAAAGCAUCUAAGCGUGAAACCCACCUCAAGAAAAGAUUUCCCAUCCGAAAGGAGUAAGACACCUUGGAGAAGACGAGGUAGAUAGGCCGGAGGUGUAAGAGUAGAAAUACUUUGAGCUGACCGGUACUAAUAAGUCGAGGACUUGACCAA
rnacentral:rRNA from 1 species